UACGGAGGAUGCAAGCGUUAUCCGGACUGAUUGGGCGUAAAGCGUCCGCAGGUGGCAAUGUAAGUCUGCUGUCAAAGCGUCUGGCUCAACCAGAUAAAGGCAGUGGAAACUACAUAGCUAGAGUAAGGUAGGGGUAGAGGGAAUUCCUGGUGUAGCGGUGAAAUGCGUAGAGAUCAGGAAGAACACCGGUGGCGAAAGCGCUCUGCUGGACCUUAACUGACACUGAGGGACGAAAGCUAGGGGAGCGAAUGGG
rnacentral:rRNA from 1 species